GAAUCACUUUUCUGCUCUGAUCACGUGACAACGGCAGAAUAAUCUUUCUGUGGAUCAGACGCCAUGUUCUUUUUAACCUCAAUCUUUAAUUGUUGGAUGGUUUGUUUUGAUAUUGGUUGUCAGAUUUCGGAUUGCUACUAUUAUACUGUAAAAUUAAUUUGCAGUGGAAAAUUGAGGUAUAAAAUAUUUCUAUUGGUUUCUUUAUUCUUAUAAUUUUUACAAGAGAAAUUGAAAAUGGAUUUACAACAGAAAGGCGUGAAAUUUUUGAAGUUCAAAGUUUUGUACUUUCCAGACCUGCACAACGAAUUACCUAUUUGAAAAAUAGAAUAUGGUUAGAAAUUGCUGAUGUAAUAGAGGAUUCAAGUACCAUUUACAAACAAAAUAUUGAAGAGAAUGUGCUCAAAGGAAAUGCAUAUGAAUUCUUUUUUUUUGACCAGGAUGGAACAAUUCUUUGGAACCUAUACUUAGAAUAAGUUAGUUAGGCCUAGUGAUGUACCAGCCAGAAGUAGAGGAUGACAAAGAAAAUCAACUAUGAAUAAUAU